rnacentral:rRNA from 1 species
UCGAACGGGAAAGUGGGGCAACCCAUGAGUAUAGUGGCGUACGGGUGAGUAACACGUGGAUGAUCUACCUCUUAGUGAGGAAUAACCCUGGGAAACCGGGGCUAAUACCGCAUAAGCACGAGAGUGGAAAGCAGCAAUGCGCUGAGAGAGGAGUCCGCGGCCGAUUAGCUAGUUGGUGAGGUAAGAGCCCACCAAGGCAAAGAUCGGUAGCCGGCCUGAGAGGGCACACGGCCACACUGGCACUGAAACACGGGCCAGACUCCUACGGGAGGCAGCAGUGGGGAAUCUUGCACAAUGGGGGAAACCCUGAUGCAGCGACGCCGCGUGAGCGAUGAAGCCCUUCGGGGUGUAAAGCUCUUUCGGCAGGGAAGAAAAAAGACGGUACCUGCAGAAGCAGCUGCGGCUAACUACGUGCCAGCAGCCGCGGUAAUACGUAGGCAGCAAGCGUUGUUCGGAGUUACUGGGCGUAAAGGGUGUGUAGGCGGUUGCUUAAGUUUGGUGUGAAAUCUCCCGGCUCAACUGGGAGGGUGCGCCGAAUACUGAGUGACUAGAGUGCGGGAGAGGAGAGUGGAAUUCCUGGUGUAGCGGUGAAAUGCGUAGAUAUCAGGAGGAACACCGGUGGUGUAGACGGCUCUCUGGACCGUAACUGACGCUGAGACACGAAAGCGUGGGUAGCAAACAGGAUUAGAUACCCUGGUAGUCCACGCCCUAAACGAUGCAUAUUUGGUGUGGGCAGUUCAUUCUGUCCGUGCCGGAGCUAACGCGUUA